rnacentral:lncRNA from 1 species
CUUUUUAUGAGUAGUAAUUUAUUUUAUAAACUUGAUUCCUGAUGCGUCUAUAGGAAAUAUUAACAAGGAAAAAAAUAUUCUAAAGAAACUGCAAAUAGAAACCUCCUCUUCCAUACCCCCCUGAAAUCUAGUUUAUGUCCAUAGGUGAAUUGCUGCUGUGAAGCCACUGCAAUUUGACUUUGUACAAAAAGGGUCAUUGAACAGAAGGUCAGGCAGCUGGCCAUUUCCAUUUCAAAGAUGCUAUCAAAAGGGCAAGAGGCAGUUCAUCCAGCAGCCCUUUAGCAAACAAGAUUUUCUCCUUUCUCAUUUAUGAUAUUUUUUAUGCUAAAAUAGUUUAUAGGCUACUGGGAGAAGGUCCUUGAUUCAUUUUCUUCGGAAGGAAAGUGGACUAAGUGGAGCUUGGAAAGGACUUUGGUUCAAGAAAUCAGAGGAGCUUUUGAGUAAUGAGGAGCCAUUUGGUGUCCACUUAUCAAGAGCCUGGCAGUAAGGCAAUAAAUCAUUACGGGGACUCUGCGCUUCGGCUGAAGACAAUUGGAAAAGCGUAAGCUACUUUGCCGCCCCAGGGACCGGCUCAGCCGCAGCUCUCGGAUGGGUUUGGUAGCCGAGUCGGGGAACCUGUGACCCUGGGUACUGCUGCAGACACUCAAGUAAAUUCAGAGGGGCCUCAGAGACCGCAGGAGAGCCACAAGCGUGGUGAAGGUUUAAAGACUUUUGAGCAUCGCUGGGAGCAUCACAUGAACUUCAGCGCUGACACUCACCCUCAGGGGGCAAAGCUCGGCGGCGAGCGCCCAUCGGACGCCGGCGGCGGCGGCGGCGCGGCGGAC